AAUAUAUAGCAGCAUACACAGCAUCUACCCGACUUGCACUGUGACGCGCAUAGAUAUGCGAGAGCCCCGUGAUAAUGAUAUAGGACUCAUGUUUGAUGUGACUGUCUGCAAUAAUGAUAAGAACGAUAUCGACUCGGACAUGUUGGAGCUGACAGUGAACUCAAAUGGCAUUUGCACAUUGAAUCUGCCGAAUGGGGAACAGGUGGAGGCAGGUACUAUUUUUGGCGGUGAUUUGACGACAAUUGAGCCGGGCAAGAGUGUUACAGUAUCCCUGGUGUUGCCCACUGAGUCUGUUUACAAUCGCGUUGGCAGCUGCCCAAUCGCCAUUUGGAGCAUGAAUCAUGAAAACGGAAGGAUGGAUCAAAUUAGCCAAAUUUUACACUUUGAUACGCGUUUCGAGACACUGGAUCCGAGCGCUCAAUCGCUGCGCAGACGCACGGAUUUCGUUGACUGCAACAACUGGGACAAGGACUACUUGCGCAAUUGCACGCCCGUCGACUGUGAGGAACGGUAUUUUGGGCAGCGGAGCUUCUACAAUCGCAUAACGGAACAUUGUGAGCCAACUCCGGCCUCUUCUUCCAGCGGAGAUAUGCAGUACAAUUACUAUGCCAACGAGUGUGUCGAAACGCAAACGGUCAUCACAGAAAAAAAGAUUGAGCAGCCAGAGACGAGCACGGAGAGUUAUAAUAUCUUUGAGUUGCAUCCCUACGGUGGAAUGAGGCGAAAUCUGCAUAUUAUUGAACACCAUACAAAUACAGAUACGGUGACAAACAAUAAAAUGGAAAUAAUGAAUCUAAGUCAUGUGCUGCAUACUCAGAAACACCAUGGCAAUGUAAGUACGUCGACCGAGAAGAAAAUGGAAAUAGCCAAUAGCAGUCAAGUGCAUCUACCAUACGCAAAAAUAAAUACAUCUGCCACAAGGAAAUUGAAGAAAAAGAUGUCACCAAAAUCUGAAUUGCGAAACUUUUACUACGCUUGGUAUAUGCCCCUGAAUGCGGAGAGCAACUUGGGGAAAGACAAUAAUAAUAAUAAUAAUAAUAGCGUUGAUGGUGGUGAUACCAGCAGCACAUCAUCAGGACCUGAUAGUAGUAACACUAUCGAUGUGGAUCCGGACCACACAUUGGAAAACAUUAACAAUAGCAAUAGUGGGAGUGUAAUGGGAACAUCGCAAUCGAAUAAUUUUCGCCAUCUGCUAGCCUCGUAUAGUGCAAUGGAGUGGCUGAUAAUGGCAAUGGAAAUGCUGCUCCUCGUGAGUUAAUGUCAACCAGAUUAGGUAUAUAUAUUGAGUGAGGCAGCAUUUGAUAAUCGUGGUGUGCAUUUGCCUCUACAUUCUUCUGGAAAUAAUCGGCGAGAUAAAAACAAAGAAGGCAAGCAGC
rnacentral:misc_RNA from 1 species